AAUUAUCAAUUGGAAAUUUCAGAUUUGAGCUUUUCUGAUAUAUUAAUGAGGCAAAAACCUAAAGAACAGCAUUUUUACUAAAACACCAGGGAGAUUACAAAUUUUGAACAUGACAUUUCUUUUUCAAAAUUAACAAUUGGAAAUUUCACAUUUGAGCUUUUCUGAUGUAUCAGUGAGGCAAAAACCUCAACAAAAACAUUUUUACUAAAACACCAGGAAAAUUACAAAUUUUGAACAUGACAGUUUUAUUUUUCAAAAUUAUCAAUUGGAAAUUUCAGAUUUGAACUUUUCUGAUAUAUUAAUGAGGCAAAAACCUAAAGAACAGCAUUUUUACUAAAACACCAGGGAGAUGACAAAUUUUGUACAUGACAGUUUUUUUCUAAAUUAACAAUCGGAAAUUUCAAAUUUGAGCUUUUCUGAUGCAAAAACCUUGAAAACCACAGAAAUGAGGGAAUACUGGGGAAAUUAAUGAGGAUUAAAGUAAUGAGGAAACAUCAUUUACAUAGAAACACAAGAUAAACAACUUUUAAAGAGUUUCUAAAAUUAACACGUAAAUUUUUAAUUUAGGCUUUUUUGAUGUAUUAAUCUGGUAAAAAAAAACAUCAACAACUAUAUUUACACAGAAACAGGGAGAUUAUAACUUUUGCACAUGACAAUAUUUGACAUUAACAUUGGUCAAUUU